GGCAGGGUGGCUGCGGGCCCCUGGCCUGCCCUGGCCUGGUCCCUGUCCCCACCCUGGCCUGUGAGACUCGGAAGUUGCCGGGGCCUCCCGCGAGUCCUUAUGGGCUCAGAGCCUUCAGAGUCUGAGGCCUCGUGGCUCCCGAGGGCUGCACUUGGGCCUGAGCACCUCCCGGGCACAGGGUCCACCGCGGGGUCUUCACCUCCUCUCAACCCAGUCCCCCUUACGUGAGCAGAGCAGGGUCUUCGCAGGACCUCAGGCACAGACAGGGAAGCAGCGUGGGCCUGGACACAGCAGUCGCUGCGAGCCCCCGGGGCCUGGGUCAGGGUGGGAGCACACCACGCUCACACUCGCCAUCACACACUUACCCACACUGACACACCCACGCCACCCAUGCACAUGUGCUCAUGUUACAUACACAACCCAGGGUGCUGACCACUGAGCCACAGCCCCAGCCCUUUUCAUUCUUUAAAUUUUGAGACGGGGUCUUACUAAGUCGCUUAGGGUCUCGCUAGGUUGCUGAGCUGGCCCUGAACUUGCGAUCCUCCUGCCUCAGCCUCCUGAGUGGCUGGGCUCACAGGUGGGCACCACCGCACCGGCCUGGCAGUCCUUGCUGAGCCUGUCAGGAAGCCGAGUCCACAUCUUCUCUGCUCUCUGGACAUCUGUGGACGUCCCUGACUGUGCCACAGGAGUUGGGGUUACAAAGGAAAUCUCACUCAGCAGGUGAAUCUGUGAAUCUGGCCCCAAGGUGUUGAGACCUGACUCCUUCAGGAGAGGGAGGCUGCCGAGGGCAUCACAGGGUGGCAAGUUCCCCCAGGGCUGAAGCAGCCUCCGACGGACGGGGCUGUGGGGCUCGGCGGCACUGAGCUGAGUGUCUCCGCGGCCCCCUGGCGCGGCAGGGCUGGCCGCGGCACUUAAGAACCUGCUCUAAUUAAACGGAGGCCUCAGGUCAGCUUCUCCAGGAGACCAGCUAGACACCACUGUGGGCCAUGUUGGGGGCUCUCGGGCACAGCCCCAUGGGGCAGGCGGGCCCCUGUGUCCUCCAGAGGGUUCCGUCCUAGAAACACAAGCCAGUGGAUGGAGUCCAAGCAGACCCACCCAGGGAUGCUGGAUCCCAGAAUGACGUGGGGACAGAAACCUCAAGCGAGCACUGUCACAGCGUGAGUCAUCUGUGCUGUCCCCGGGGCCGCUCAUGUUAAAAUAGCCAGGAGCUCCCAGGGUCACGGUGACUCUCACAGGCUGGGUUAGGGCAAAGUCGGACGUGAGAGUCCAGAGCGUGUGGGACCUCGUGGGACAAACGGGGAUGCUCGGCUCGGCAAGGAGGACGCCGGCACAGAGGCACUCCUGCUGCUGAUGUCCUUCCACCUCCUUCGUCCACAGAGCACCCGAGAGGCCCGAGCAUGCAGGCUCGAGUUCUGUAAAGGUGUGUGUCCCAGGCCCAGCCGGGGGGACAGCACCUGGCAGGCGAGGGCCACCCACCUGGCUGGACCUUCUGCGGCCCCCUGGUCCAGCCUCUUGUGCCUGCUGGGGAAUUCAUGUUGAAAGGGACGUGCCUGACCCCACGGUGCCCGUUGCCAUGGCAGCCACCCGGACGCCUGGGGGCUGCACACUUGCUGGAUUCCUCACAUAGCUGCAGCCUAGGUGGGGUGGGGACUCGGGGGCCCUUGGAAUGUGGCUGCUGGGGCCCACUUCUGCCUGGCCUGCCCCUCUCACCUGAGCACUGCCCGUCAGGCUGCGCCACAGGGGCUGCGGGAACAUGAUCCCGGGGCGAUGGGGACCCGGGGUCCUGCAGACAGUGGCAUUCAUCAGCGUCUGAAUCAGCCCCUGCUGCCCCCUGAACCCCCAGCAGGACUGAGCGGCCCGGGCAGCAGCGCUUCCUAGCUGUGUGGAGGGAGCCCACCCACCGUGUUCUGGGGGUGUCCCUUUGGCCCUCGGCUAUCACUGGGCUCAAAGUGGAGACUGGGGC
rnacentral:lncRNA from 1 species